GGCUUCUCUGUUGUAACUCAGUUGUCUCAGGAACUUCCAUGGUUACUCAGUGUUCUCCCAGCCCCUGUGAGGUCACAUAUGUCUGUGCCCGUGUCUGUGAUGAGUAUAUUUAACCUCAGGGUCAAGACAGAAGAUAUUGGAAGAGAAGGAGAAGCCACUGGCUCAUUUCCCAGUUUUUCCAUUUUUAUUGAAAAAAUAAAAGUAUUUCCUGUAA
rnacentral:lncRNA from 1 species